rnacentral:rRNA from 1 species
CAGCCGCCGCGGUAAUACAGAGGGUGCGAGCGUUAAUCGGAUUUACUGGGCGUAAAGCGUGCGUAGGCGGCUUUUUAAGUCGGAUGUGAAAUCCCUGAGCUUAACUUAGGAAUUGCAUUCGAUACUGGGAAGCUAGAGUAUGGGAGAGGAUGGUAGAAUUCCAGGUGUAGCGGUGAAAUGCGUAGAGAUCUGGAGGAAUACCGAUGACGAAGGCAGCCAUCUGGCCUAAUACUGACGCUGAGGUACGAAAGCAUGGGGAGCAAACAGGAUUAGAUACCCGGGUAGUCCCUGUCUCUUAUAC